GCUUGGGUGGCUUAGUCGGUUAAGUGUCCGACUUCGGCUCAGGUCAUGAUCUCAUGCUUUGUGGGUUCCAGUCCCACAUCAGGCU
rnacentral:tRNA from 1 species